rnacentral:rRNA from 1 species
AUUGAACGCUGGCGGCAGGCUUAACACAUGCAAGUCGAGCGGAGUGGCGAACGGGUGAGUAAUGUAUCGGAACGUGCCCAGUAGCGGGGGAUAACUACGCGAAAGCGUAGCUAAUACCGCAUACUAUUGGAGCGGCCGAUAUCGGAUUAGGUAGUUGGUGGGGUAACGGCUCACCAAGGCGACGAUCCGUAGCUGGUUUGAGAGGACGACCAGCCACACUUGGACUGAGACACGGCCCAGACUCCUACGGGAGGCAGCAGUGGGGAAUUUUGGACAAUGGGGGAAACCCUGAUCCAGCCAUCCCGCGUGUAUGAAGAAGGCCUUCGGGUUGUAAAGUACUUUCAGCGGGGAGGCGUUACCCGCAGAAGAAGCACCGGCUAACUCCGUGCCAGCAGCCGCGGUAAUUC